AGUGAACGCUGGCGGUAGGCCUAACACAUGCAAGUCGAGCGGCAGCACAGUAAGAGCUUGCUCUUACGGGUGGCGAGUGGCGGACGGGUGAGGAAUACAUCGGAAUCUACUUUUUCGUGGGGGAUACCGUAGGGAAACUUACGCUAAUACCGCAUACGACCUACGGGUGAAAGCAGGGGAUCUUCGGACCUUGCGCGAUUGAAUGAGCCGAUGUCGGAUUAGCUAGUUGGCGGGGUAAAGGCCCACCAAGGCGACGAUCCGUAGCUGGUCUGAGAGGAUGAUCAGCCACACUGGAACUGAGACACGGUCCAGACUCCUACGGGAGGCAGCAGUGGGGAAUAUUGGACAAUGGGCGCAAGCCUGAUCCAGCCAUACCGCGUGGGUGAAGAAGGCCUUCGGGUUGUAAAGCCCUUUUGUUGGGAAAGAAAAGCAGCAGGUUAAUACCCCGCUGUUCUGACGGUACCCAAAGAAUAAGCACCGGCUAACUUCGUG
rnacentral:rRNA from 1 species